GAGAUAGCAGGUAAGUUGGCGGUUCUUAAAAACCGUGGCACGUCGUUCGGCCAGCGGAUGAUGUGCCAUAUGUUUCCCAUCCGGGCCUGCAGGCUAAAUGGAAAUCCCCAUUUGUAUGGAAUUCGUCGCUCCUGAAGUGCUCGGGUGAGAGGCCGCAGGGCCCUGCGGGCAUCUAGAGUGAUGGUAGAUAAGUCCUGGUAAAGGGAUAUUUGUGCUUCCAUGUAAGUGAUGUGCUGCUGUGCACGUGCUGCCCGCAUUAUAGAUUCUUUUAGCGGGAAUGACAGGAGGGCGCAAAUCAUGUCUCUUG